rnacentral:siRNA from 1 species
UGGAGCUUGUAGUCAAUACUAC